rnacentral:rRNA from 1 species
CCUACGGGAGGCAGCAGUGGGGAAUAUUGGGCAAUGGAGGAAACUCUGACCCAGCGACGCCGCGUGCGGGAUGAAGGCCUUCGGGUUGUAAACCGCUUUCAGCAGGGAAGAAGCGAAAGUGACGGUACCUGCAGAAGAAGCACCGGCUAACUAUGUGCCAGCAGCCGCGGUAAUACGUAGGGUGCAAGCGUUGUCCGGAAUUAUUGGGCGUAAAGAGCUCGUAGGUGGUUCGUCACGUCGGAUGUGAAAAUCUGGGGCUUAACCCCAGACCUGCAUUCGAUACGGGCGAGCUUGAGUAUGGUAGGGGAGUCUGGAAUUCCUGGUGUAGCGGUGGAAUGCGCAGAUAUCAGGAGGAACACCAAUGGCGAAGGCAGGACUCUGGGCCAUUACUGACACUGAGGAGCGAAAGCGUGGGGAGCGAACAGGAUUAGAUACCCUGGUAGUCCACGCCGUAAACGGUGGGCACUAGUUGUGGGGACCUUCCACGGUCUCUGCGACGCAGCUAACGCAUUAAGUGCCCCGCCUGGGGAGUACGAUCGCAAGNUUAAAACUCAAAGGAAUUGACGG